rnacentral:rRNA from 1 species
CGAUUUGAUGCAAGGUUAAGCAGUAAAUGUGGAGCCGUAGCGAAAGCGAGUCUGAAUAGGGCGUUUAGUAUUUGGUCGUAGACCCGAAACCAGGUGAUCUACCCAUGACCAGGUUGAAGUUCAGGUAACACUGAAUGGAGGACCGAACCGACUUACGUUGAAAAGUGAGCGGAUGAGUUGUGGGUAGCGGAGAAAUUCCAAUCGAACCUGGAGAUAGCUGGUUCUCUCCGAAAUAGCUUUAGGGCUAGCCUCAAGUGAUGAUUAUUGGAGGUAGAGCACUGUUUGGACGAGGGGCCCUUAUCGGGUUACCGAAUUCAGACAAACUCCGAAUGCCAAUUAAUUUAACUUGGGAGUCAGACUAUGGGUGAUAAGGUCCGUAGUCGAAAGGGAAACAGCCCAGACCACCAGCUAAGGUCCCAAAAUAUAUGUUAAGUGGAAAAGGAUGUGGCGUUGCC